GCUCGGACACAUUGAGUACAUCCUAUACAUGUAUCAUAAAUCUUUACUGAAUGUGACAUUAUAUCUAUAGUAAUUGUUGAUGUUCAAAAAUGAAAAUUAUUGAUCUAGUAAACUCGUAAAUGAAUCGUAUAUUUAUAUACCAGAUGAAUCAAUGAUUUGUGAUAAUAUUGUUAACUGUUAAUAAAAAAAGGUGUCUAGAUAAAUUUAGAAGAGGGAAUAGAAGAGGACCAGGAUACUUUGAUUUCUUAUGAUUUAGGCAAUCCAAACAUGAUAUGAUCAUAAGUUGUGUCGAAUAAAUACUCAAAUGAAUUGAUUAAUAUUUCACUAUGUGAAAUUCGACUUUAUUAUUAAUUAUGAUAGGAUUAAUGCUAUUUAUUCAACAAAUUCGAUUGAUUGAUACGGGUUGAUUUUCUGUUACGAGCAAUUGAAGAAACAAUAGCCAGUCCGAUAGCCGCUUCAGCGGCUGCAAUAGCUAUAACAAAAAUUGAAAAAAUAUUUCCUUUUAAUUGGCGAUUAUCAAAAAAAUCAGAAAAAGUUACUAGAUUUAUAUUAACUGCAUUCAGUAUAAGUUCAAGACACAUAAGGGCUCUAACCAUAUUUCGGCUCGUGAUCAAUCCAUAGAUACCAAUAGAAAAUAAAUAGGCACUCAAAACAAGUACAUGUUCGAGCAUCAUUGACCAACUCCUUAUAAAUUUUGAUUCAUUAACAAAUAUAUCGGCAAUAAAAAAAAGAAUCUUGAUAAAACUCUUUCACUUCACAUAGAAUUCGACAGAAAUGAAUGUGAUAAAAUUGAAAAAAAAAAAGAAAAAUAAUAAAAAGACUGUUCUUAUUCAAAACGCCCUGUGAUCUUCAACCAAUUUUGUGCCUCAAUAUAAUUACCAGGGGUAAGGGCUAUAGCUUGUUUCCAAUAUUCAGCAGCUUGAUCAAACCAAGAUUCUGCAAUUUCAGAAUCUCCCUGUCGAAUGGCCUGUUCUCCGCGGUCGGAAUAGGUGAGUAAAAUCCUUCCCUUAGAACCGUACUUGAGAGUUUCCUGACUCAUACGGCUCAACAGUCAAUUCUUUUGAUCUUCCAUGGAGUUAAUAACAAGAAAAAGGUUAAUUACAUGAGUUUCAAACUUGCCUUUGGAUUAAUAAUUCAAUUUAAUCGUUUGUUUUUAGUUUUAUCUUUUCUCCUACCUUCUGAAGAAUAAAGCAUCGAUAUUAACACUAACGCUCUUAUUCUCAUUUUCUGAAAGGUAACUAUCUCGAUUUCAUAUAUCAUUUCAUAUAUAAUAUAUCUAUUUCUAUAGAAUCUUUGAGAAAGACUUUUCUUCAUAAGAAAAGACUUACUAUCUUUGGGAUCUGAUACUACACCGCUGCUCAAAACCUUAGGGGAUCAACUUUAUUACAUAAGUUGAUUUCUAAUCUAUCAUCAUAUAAGUAAGCAGUUCUUGUUGUAUCGGCCAAAAACCUUGUUAAUUGAUCUUUACGGUGCUUCCUCUAUCAAUUAGAUCUUUUAUCCAUAGAAAAAAGUAUCUAGGCAUAUAUAUUCUAUUUCUUCAUAUUUUUACUUCUAUGAAGUUUCUUUCAUACAGCUCAUAAAAAUCGUUGUUUCGAACGAUAUCUAUGUAACUUAAUUCUAAAUUUGGUUGAAUUAAUGAAGAACCAAAGAAUAUAGAAUCGCGAGAAUUUACUAGGACUCAUCAUCUUCUGAAUUUUGUUUAAUUUUCUUCUGAUUCUUCCUAUUGCUCCUAUUAUUUUUAUUUUGAUUCUCCGUAGCGUCGUGAUAAUGUAAUCCAUUGGAUAUUCUUCUCCUGAUCUCUUUUCGAAGAUCUCUUAUUAAAUUAAUGUGAAUUAACUUAAUUCUAAAUUUGGUUGAAUUAAUGAGUUGAAAAAGUCUUUGAAUUAAUUGUAUAAUAAUUUUGUUUAAUUUUCUUCUGAUUCUUCCUAUUGCUCCUAUUGUUUUUAUUUUGAUUCUUCGUAGCGUCGUGAUAAUGUUAUCCAUUCGAUCCUCCUAUUGUGAUCUAUUUUGAAUUAAUUGUAAAUGUGCAUGAACAUUAUGAAUAAUAUGAAACUAGAAAAAGUAUUCACAAUGUUUUUUUUUAAUCCAUCAAAAAUGAGAUGGAAUAGCUUCAACCUUGUCAACCGAAAAUGAGAAAAUGAAAUCGGGGUAAACACCAAUACCUAUUAUGAGUAUAAGGAUACAAAUAGAAAUAAAUAAUUCUCUGGGCCCAGAAUAAAAAAAAUUAGAGUUUGGUGUAUUCAAAAACUUAUAUCCAUAGAACAUCUGCCGUACGAUUGAUAAUAAAUAAAUCGAAGUUAAUAUCAUUCCAAUUGCUGUUACAAAAGUAAUUAGUAUUUUCAUCAUGAAAAGAUCAUUUUUGACUACUAAUUAUUCCAAAAAAACUAUCAAUUCUGCAACAAAACCGCUCAUGCCAGGCAAUGCAAGAGAAGCCAUUGAUAAGAUAGUAAAAAUUGUGAAUAUUUUUGGCAUUGGGAUAGCCAUUCCGCCCAUUUCGUCAAGAUAAAGAAGAUGCCACUCUAUCAUAACUAGUUCCUGCCAAGAAAAAAAGUGCAGCGCCAAUAAAUCCAUGAGAUAUGAUUUGUAAAAUGGCCCCGUUGAGACCAGUAUCACUUAUGGAACCAAUUCCUAUAAUUAGAAAGCCCAUAUGAGAUACCGAAGAAUAAGCUAUUCUUUUUUUUAGAUUACGUUGACCAAAAGAUGUUGAAGCGGCAUAGAUUAUUUGAAUAGAACCUAAUAUCAUUAACCAGGGGCAAAAUAUGGAAUGAGCAUGGGAAACCAAUUCCAUAUUAAUUCGAACCAACCCAUAUGCUCCCAGUUUUAAUAAUAUGCCGGCUAAAAGCAUACAAGUGCUGUAAUGUGCCUCUCCGUGGGUAUCUGGUAACCAUGUAUGUAAGGGCAUAAUUGGCGAUUUGACAGCAAAAGAAAUCAGAAAUGCCGUAUAGAAUAUUAUUUCUAGUGCCACGGGAUACGAUCGAUUAAUUAAUGUUUCAAAAUUAAAUGUUGGUUUAUUAGAGCCAUAUAAACCGAUACCCAGAAUUCCCAUUAAUAAAAAAACAGAAGCUCCUGCAGUGUACAAAAUAAACUUAGUAGCAGAGUAGAAACGUUUCUUUCCCCCCCAGAUGGAUAAAAGUAGAUAAACGGGGAUUAAUUUCAAUUCCCACAUGAUGAAAAAAAGUAAAAUGUCUCGAGAAGAAAAUGGUCCUAUUUGACCGCUAUACAUUGCUAACAUCAGGAAAUAGAAUAAUUGGUAUUCUCGAGUAACCGGCUGAGCCGCUAAAGAGGCUAAAGUAGUUAUAAAUCCUGUUAGUAAAAUGGGUCCUAUAGAGAGUCCAUCUAUUCCUAAUCUCCAGUCAAAAUCAAAAAAAUGGAUCCAUUUAUAAUUCUCCGUCAGUUGAAUUAGUGGAUCAUACAAUUGGAAAUGAUAAGAAAAUGCAUAGGUUGUUAGAAGGAGAUCGAUUAAGCAUAUACAAAUGCUAUACCACCUAAUUACCUUAUUUCCCCUAUGAGGAAAUAAGAAAAUUAAGGAACCUGCGGCUAGGAAAUGAUAAGAAAAUGCAUAGGUUGUUAGAAGGAGAUCGAUUAAGCAUAUACAAAUGCUAUACCACCUAAUUACCUUAUUUCCCCUAUGAGGAAAUAAGAAAAUUAAGGAACCUGCGGCUAUUGGAAAAACAACAACGAUUGUUAACCAAGGAAAAUAAUUCGUGAUAAAAAUAAGAUACACUUGGGCCAGAAAAGCCCGUGCUCAAAAUAGAAAAAAAAGAUUUUCUAUUUUAUUUGGAGCACGAGUUUUUGACAGUAAAAAACGUAUUCGUGUGGUGUUGUUUGAAACGAAUCAAUAAGCUAGACCCAUACUUCGAGUUGUUUCAUGCCAUAAAUAAACUCGAACACUUAAGAAAUCCGUCGGACAAGCGGACUCACACCUCCUACAACCAACACAGUCCUCUGUUCUUGGGGCAGAAGCUAUUUGCUUAGCUUUACAUCCACCCCAAGGUAUCAUUUCUAAUACAUCUGUGGGACAGGCUCGGACACAUUGAGUACAUCCUAUACAUGAUAGCUUUACAUCCACCCCAAGGUAUCAUUUCUAAUACAUCUGUGGGACAGGCUCGGACACAUUGAGUACAUCCUAUACAUGUAUCAUAAAUCUUUACUGAAUGUGACAUUAUAUCUAUAGUAAUUGUCGAUGUUCAAAAAUGAAAAUUAUUGAUCUAGUAAACUCGUAAAUGAAUCGUAUAUUUAUAUACCAGAUGAAUCAAUGAUUUGUGAUAAUAUUGUUAACUGUUAAUAAAAAAAGGUGUCUAGAUAAAUUUGGAAGAGGGAAUAGAAGAGGACCAGGAUACUUUGAUUUCUUAUGAUUUAGGCAAUCCAAACAUGAUAUGAUCAUAAGUUGUGUCGAAUAAAUACUCAAAUGAAUUGAUUAAUAUUUCACUAUGUGAAAUUAGACUUUAUUAUUAAUUAUGAUAGGAUUAAUGCUAUUUAUUCAACAAAUUCGAUUGAUUGAUACGGGUUGAUUUUCUGUUACGAGCAAUUGAAGAAACAAUAGGCAGUCCGAUAGCCGCUUCAGCGGCUGCAAUAGUUAUAACAAAAAUUGAAAAAAUAUUUCCUUUUAAUUGGCGAUUAUCAAAAAAAUCAGAAAAGGUUACUAGAUUUAUAUUAACUACAUUCAGUAUAAGUUCAAGACACAUAAGGGCUCUAACCAUAUUUUGGCUCGUGACCAAUCCAUAGAUACCAAUAGAAAAUAAAUAGGCACUCAAAAUAAGUACAUGUUCGAGCAUCAUUAACCAACUCCUUAUAAAUUUUGAUUCAUUAACAAAUAUAUCGGUAAUAAAAAAAAGAAUCUUGAUAAAACUCUUUCACGUCACAUAGAAUUCGACAGAAAUGAAUGUGAGAAAAUUGAAAAAAAAAAAAGAAAAUAAUAAAAGACUGUUCUUAUUCAAAACGCCCUGUGAUCUUCAACCAAUUUUGUGCCUCGAUAUAAUUACCAGGGGUAAGAGCUAUAGCUUGUUUCCAAUAUUCAGCAGCUUGAUCAAACCAAGAUUCUGUAAUUUCAUAAUCUCCCUAUCGAAUGGCCUGUUCUCCGCGGUUGGAUUAGGUGAGUAAAAUCCUUCCCUUAGAACCGUACUUGAGAGUUUCCUGUCUCAUACAGCUCAAUAGUCAAUUCUUUUGAUCUUCCAUGGAGUUAAUAAUAAGAAAAGAGGUUAAUUACAUGAGUUUCAAACUUGCCUUUGGAUUAAUAAUUCAAUUUAAUCGUUUGUUUUUAGUUUUAUUUUUUCUCCUACCUUCUGAAGAAUAAAGCAUCGACAUUAACACUAACGCCCUUAUUCUCAUUUUCUGAAAGGUAACCAUCUUGAUUUCAUAUAUCAUUUCAUAUAUAAUAUAUCUAUUUCUAUAGAAUCUUUGAGAAAUACUUUUCUUCAUAAGAAAAGACUUACUAUCUUUGGGAUAUGAUACUACACCGCUGCUCAAAACCUUAGGGGACCAACUUUAUUACAUAAGUUGAUUUCUAAUCUAUCAUCAUAUAAGUAAGCAGUUCUUGUUGUAUCAGCCGAAAACCUUGUUAAUUGAUCUUUACGGUGCUUCCUCUAUCAAAUAGAUCUUUUAUCCAUAGAAAAAAGUAUCUAG
rnacentral:lncRNA from 1 species